UCAUUUAUUUUUUGUCUACGCGCAUUUUGUAAGUGUACAAUCGUACAAAGAUAUGUCUAUGGUCAGCAUAUAUGAGGAAGAAGAAGUGACGCUUUGUCAUUCCGUCAAGGUGGAACCAUGAACUGCAACGGGAGCUACACUACAACUUUCGCAGUUUGCCUUAAAGUGCUGCAGGUGAUUCUCUCCCUGCUAUCACUUUGGUUUCUGGGAGUAACUCACUUUCAUUUCGACACCGCUCUUAUCACGCUGAACUUUCACGCUUUCCUGCUGUUCAUGGUGAACGGGUGCUUCGGUAUCACCAGCGUUGUGCUGCUUGUAUCCCUGGCAAUCCGAAGCAGCGACGUGCCUUAUUCCUUGCUCUACAGUAUACAUUCUGUUGUAGCCCUCAUCUACAACGUUCUCGCAGGCCUGACAUACAUCGGCUUCGAGAAGGCGGUCCAUGGUUCUGCCUUUGGUCACAUCGCCGCUGGUCUCACUACACUGAAUGGUUUGACCUGCUUAGCAGAAGUCAUUCCCCUCAUCCCACAGGCUAAUUAAAGCUCUCACUCUGCA